CCUCUGGAGAUCGCAGGGCCCCUGCAGGGCUGUGGGGCAGGGAAUGGUCAGAGGCCAAAUGACCAUAGCCCACUACCUUCCUCAGAUGUCUGGGGAUGGGGGUGGGGGGUGUUCCCAGAGGGAAAGAGCCAAGGAAUCUGUAAGGUAAUUGAUGCUCACUGUCAAAAAUAAAGAAAAUAUGGGCGAGUUUGGAAAAGAAAACAAAGAUCAAUCAUCUCACUUACAAUGAAAACGUUGGUGUCUCAGGAUGAGAUGAGCUUUCGUAUUCAGCGCUUAGAACACUGACUGGAAUGUGGUGAUCACCCAAUGAAUGGUACUUAGUACUAUCCCAUCGUUGGUAGGCUUGGAAAAGUCUUUCCCCCUCCAAAAAUCAAAUAAAGCUCACCUACAUUUUCUUCUAGUA